AUGUGGCUUGCUGUUCAUCGCAGGUGCUUGACCGCAGAUAAUUUGGAGAGGAGGGGCUGGCCUUCUAAUGGCAACUGUCCGUUGUGCAUCUCGACGCACGAAGACUGCACACAUCUUUUUGUGCAUUGUCGGUUCACUCAGCAGGUUUGGAGGAGGUUCAGGGACUGGACGAGAGUGUUUUUUCUUGUUCCAGAUGACAGUUAUGCUAAUACUGAGGAUUGGUGGCUGAGAACACGGAAGGAUGUCCCCAAGUCUGAUAGGCGCAAUUUUGACACCAUUAUCAUUCUUAUCCACUGGAGGAUCUGGAAAGAAAGAAAUGCGAGAAUUUUUGAGCAUGUGGCCUGCAGCGUUGAAAGGGUGCUGGAUUUGAUCAGAGAAGAUAUCAGGGCCUGGAGAGCAGCAGGUUGUAUCGGUGACCUUUUUUGA
rnacentral:rRNA from 1 species